rnacentral:lncRNA from 1 species
AAAAUAAUAAUAAUAAAUAAAAUAUGUAAUAAAAUUACAACCAAUUUCACGACCAGGGAAAACUCUUCGUCAGUGAUGCAAUUCGAAGAAUAAUUAGUUCCAUUGUAGCAGCCUCUGCUUUAACCUGGCUGAAAGAAUUCCCAGAAUUUGCAUUGUCAACAUCAACUGCACCUAAAGAUAAUAUAAGGUCAAAAUCAUUGUGGAUCAGAUUGAUAUCUUCUAGUAGAAGGCAAAGAUUGAUUUUUUUUUUUUCAAAAUAUUUUUGAAAAUCCAAUUUUUUAAUCUCAUGAACUUAUGUUAUUAUACUUUGACGGAAUCCAAUGUGCCUUUAUUGAAAUUUGAAUCCUUAUAAAUAGACCAUGCUUGGCUGCUCCAUCUCCAUAUCAUCAAAGCUUUCAUAUCCAACAAUGUCUCUUCACUCUUCUCUCACCAUGUCAUUGCUGUCUUUCUCCUUCUUGUUGCUGUUUACUUUUAGUGCCAAAGCUGUUGUUCCUCCAUCUGAAACUUUUAGGUUUGUCAACGACGGAGAAUUUGGGCCGUUUGUUGUUGAAUAUGAUGCAAAUUACCGUGUCAUAAGCAUAGCUAAUGCCCCCUUCCAGCUUGCGUUUUAUAACACCACCCCUAAUGCCUUCACCCUUGCGUUACGCAUGGCUACAACGCGUUCCGAGUCGCUCUUCCGAUGGGUUUGGGAGGCCAACAGGGGGAACCCUGUUCGCGAGAACGCCACGUUCUCUCUCGGGACUGACGGGAACCUUGUCUUGGCUGAUGCCGAUGGUCGGAUUGCUUGGCAAAGUAACACUGCCAACAAAGGUGUGGUAGGGUUCCAAUUGUUGCCUAAUGGUAACAUGGUGUUACACGAUUCCAAUGGCAAGUUCAUUUGGCAAAGUUUUGAUCAUCCAACUGAUACACUCUUGGUGGGUCAGUCGCUUAGAAUCGGAGGGGCGACGAAGCUUGUGAGUCGGGCUUCUGCUCAAAACAAUGUUGACGGAGCCUAUAGCUUGGUGAUGGAGCCUAAACAGUUGGUUUUGCAGUACAAGGGAAUGAACUCUCCUAAACCACUUGUCUAUUUCAAAUCAUCUGUUUGGCCAAGUACACAAGAUGGUACUUUACAAACUGUGACACUAAAUGUUGAGGAAACAAAUGAUGGCUUUGCUUAUAACGUUUUGUUAGACUACACAGUGGCUAACUCGUCCAUCGGGACCGGAAAUCUCAUCUUGACAAGGCCGAAAUACAACAGCACAUUGUCGAUUCUUCGACUCGGGAUCGAUGGAAACCUGAGGGUUUUUACCUACUAUGACAAGGUUGAUUCACAGGCAUGGGAAGAGACUUUCACUCUCUUCUCUAGGGACUCAAUAUGGGGCACUGAAUGCGAACUGCCGGAGAGGUGUGGGAACUUUGGACUCUGUGAGGAGAACCAAUGCGUUGCUUGCCCGUCAACAAACGGAUUACUCGGUUGGAGCCAGAAUUGUCAGCCGAAGAAGGUGAAUUGUAGGCCGAAUGGUUUCAGCUACUACAAGCUAGAAGGAGUUGACCAUUUCAUGAGCCAGUACAACGAAGGAGAAGGGAUAAAGGAGAGUGAUUGUGGGAGGAAAUGCACCUCUGAUUGCAAGUGUUUGGGGUACUUUUACCACAGGGAAACAUCCAAAUGUUGGAUCGCUAAUGAGUUGAAAACCCUUGCUAAAACCUCUAACUCUUCCCAUGUUGGUUAUAUAAAGGCACCCAACAAGUGACGGGAAUCCUAUUAAGUAUUUGUACUUUUUCCUCUGUAUUUUCCAGUUUCUUUAUUGUAAGCUAAUAAGUAUUUGUAAGUUUGAAUUACAAAUUAAAGUUUUAUUUAAAAGUAUCAAUCAAGUGUAUUUGUAGUCAAUAAACUAAAUUCGAAAUGCAUUGAGUGGAUCAAGUGCAAGUUCUCAUGGCUCUUCUCUUUUGGCGCAUAAACGAAUAGAGACAGAAUGGUACAGAAUAGUAAAGGAACUCUGUAGUGUUCCCAGAAUAGGAAAACUAUUUUUGUUAAUCAAUACUUAUUUUUCUUAAAAUCUUAAAUUAAAUUAAAUUAAAUUGAUACCAUUAACUUGAAAUAUCGUGAUCUAAAAUUUCUAUAUUGCAUCAUGUUUUGAUUGGUAUUAUCAAUAUAAUAUUGAGAAAAGGGGAUGGAAGAUAACAGAAUUUAAAUUCAUAUAAUUUAAGUGCUUGUGAGAAGCUUUCAUUAUUGCUCUAAAUAUCUGUUGGUUUAGUUGAUAUGAUGAAAGGUUGAAAAAAAUUUUAUUUUUUUAAGGAAUUUAUCGAAGUGAAUUAAUCCUUCAUAUUAUGUAAGUUUAUUAAGAGAUUAGAUAUUAAUCACGAUUUUUAAAGGUGCUUUAUACUUAGGACAAGUACCAAAACCUUAAUCAUUGAUGAAGGUAGGAGAAAAUUUUAUAUCUUCCCUAAACAAUUGGAAUAUAUUUAAAUUGUGAAGUUGAAAUAUGAAAGCAAUUAAUAGCUAAAAUUUUGUUACCAGAUACAGCGCAAUCUAAACCACAAGCGAGGGUCCCGUAGAGAUGCUUUGUUGCCUUAUCUUCCAACCGGCCCGCCAUUUAGAUGUAAUUGCACCAUAGCUAAGCUUGAUGUCUUCAAGACUUUCAAAGCCGUCACAAAAGACUCAAACCAACGGUGGCUUGCUCGUGUUUAUCCAUUACAAUAUCUCCUAACACUGAAAAAUUAGUAAAGUAUAUUUUUAUAAAUAAAGUAAUUAUAUUAUUAUGAAUUUAAUAUAAAUUUAAUAUAAAUUUAAUUACGAUGAAAUUUGAAUUCAUAAUAUAAUGAAUUUUAAAUAUUUAAUUUUAUUUUUUAAAUCACAUAUAAUUUCUACCUCAAGUUUUAAUAAAUAUAUUAUUGUUACAUAAAUCGUGGGUAUGACUUAAUUUAAUAAAUUGUUAAAUAACUUAUGAACAUCUCUUUUAUCACUAAAAUUUUAAACUAAAAGUGAAUAAUUUAUUUACCUAAAUAAAUAUAAAUGUGUAGUUAAGGUUUAGUGCAGGGGCUUUGGCCUCCUAAAAAUUAGAAAAUUAAAAUUCUAGUUCUCUGUAAAUGAUCAAAUUAUAAAUUAAUAUAAGGGAAAAUUCUGCUUUGGUUUUCUAAAAAAUUUCCGAAUUCACCCCUAGUUUAGGGCAUUAUUUUCAUAAACAUAUUGAAUUAGUUAAUUAGAUCAGUUGAACCGAGAAUCAACUGAAGUAGUACUAAAUACACAAAUCAUCAUCUAUACCUAUACCAAAAUUAUUUUUAUCAGAUGCACUAACAUUGAAAACUAUUUUUUUUCACAAGUAAGUUGGUGGUGGUGACAAAUGUCUCAUUUAUUUAAUUUUAAAAAAAAAUUAAAAUUAUUCAAAAGAUACUCAUCAUCAUGGUAAGAAUACAAGUGAAUUUAUGAUAAACUAAAUAAUUAUCUAUUACUUAUUGGUCGAUUGAAUUGAUGCCACCAGAUGAAAAUCACUUAUAAAUAAUUAUAAGACACGUUAAAAUAUACAUAUAGUGACCUAAACCUAAGAGACACUACUUUAGUUUCCUUGCUGAACUUCAAAACUUUAUUUGCUUGCCAGUAACUAUAGAUAAAAAUAAUAAUACAAGUUAGGAUAUGAUAUGAUUGGUUAUCCCCACGAUUGUAGAUAUAAAUUUUGUUUUACAAUUAAAAAUAUAGAAAGGAAGAUCACUUAGACACACUACGUGUCCCAGCUUGCCUUUACGCAAAAUGAUAAUGAAUUUAUUUAUUAAUGUUUUGAUGACCAAGUUUUUCCAUAAUCUUGACCUCUUAAUAAAUAAUUUACAUGAUGCUGACCCUCUAAAUUUAACUAAUUAAAUCCUAUCUAUUUAUCAAUAUUUUAUAAAUCUUAAAACAUGACAAAUUAUGAAAUAAUCUAACAGAGACAUGCACGUAACCAUAGGGUUUAUAAGAACUGUCUUGUCUGUAGCAAAUUGAAGAAACGUUUUUUGGCGUCUCACCUUCUAAAUUAUGUCGUUUUAUUAUAGUAUAAAUGAUUGAUGCUUUAGCUUUGAUUUUUGUUUCCCUUUUAUAGGAAUAUUAAAAUGCCAAGUGUAGAUAAUGCAAGACAGGAAAUGACAGCGGGUGGGCCUAGAAUCCUGAAAUUAUUUUGGUCAAGCAAGGCCCUUUUAAUUAUUAAUUGAGCAGCCAACUUUUGCCAAACUAUUAAAGUUGAGGUCUUAUUCUUCCUCCACUCCCUGUAAUAUCGAGAACUUUAAAUUUAAGUCCUACCUUUCAUACUAGUCCCUUUACUUGUUUGUUUGAAAAUUAAAGUACAAUUGAUGACACUUUUAUUGAAUUUGAGUUAUCAAUUGGACUUCAUUCAAUUUUUAAAUCAGACUUUUGAUUUUUUUUUAAGUUUUACUAUUACAAAUACAAUACAAGUACAAAUAUAUGUCCGAUCAACUAUAAUAUAGAAUCAAACCAACACAAAGGCAAAACCCUCACAUGGUAAAUGUGUAUGGUGAGAUAAGAGACUCAUUGCAAUUAUGCAUGAUGAACUCAAACUUGGGUAUUCAAAUUUAAAGAAAUUUCAUUAAUACUAUUAUCAAUUAAACUUUAAAUUUUAAGUUAAACAACCGGAGGGAUUUAAUUUUUGGAGCUAAAGACAUAGGGAUUAAAAUUUUAAGGUCUUAAGAUUACACAGACUGUGGGGAGAAUUAAACCAAAAUUUAAUUACUCUCUUUUCAAUCGACUUAAAUAUUUAGCCUAAGUCAAUCCUAAUCCUAAAUUUAAGAGAAGCUAAUUAAACAUUUAAAUGGCUUACUUCUGAAGGGAAAAUUGUUCAGUCGGCGGUGCAAUUCGAAGAAUAAUUAUAGUUCCAUUGUAGCAGCCUCUGCUUUAACUUGGCUGACCAGAUUUUGGAAUAUCAACAUCGAUUGCACCUAAGAUAAUAUAAGGUCAAAAUCAUUGUGGAUCAGAUUGAUAUCUUCUAGUAGAAGGCAAAGAUUGUGUUUUUUUUUUUUCAAAAUAUUUUUGAAAACCCAAUUUUUUAAUCUCAUGAAUCUAUUUUAUUAUACCUUUGAUGGUAUGCAAUGUGCCUUCAUUGAAUCCUUAUAAAUAGACCAUGCUUGGUUGCUCCAUCUCCAUAUCAUCAAAGCUACCAUAUCCAAAAAUGUCUCUUUACCCUUCUCUCACCAUGUCAUUGCUGUCUUUUUCCUUGUUGUUGCUGUUUGCUUUUAGUGCCAAAGCUGUUGUUCCCCCAUCUGAAACUUUUAGGUUUGUCAACGAAGGGGAAUUUGGGCCUUUUAUUGUUGAAUAUGGUGCAGAUUACCGUGUCAUAAGCAUAGCUAAUGCCCCCUUCCAGCUUGCGUUUUAUAACACCACCCCUAAUGCCUUCACCCUUGCGUUACGCAUGGCUACAACGCGUUCCGAGUCGCUCUUCCGAUGGGUUUGGGAGGCCAACAGGGGGAACCCUGUUCGCGAGAACGCCAUGUUCUCUCUCGGGACUGACGGGAACCUUGUCUUGGCUGAUGCCGAUGGUCGGAUUGCUUGGCAAAGUAACACUGCCAACAAAGGUGUGGUAGGGUUCCAAUUGUUGCCUAAUGGUAACAUGGUGUUACACGAUUCCAAUGGCAAGUUCAUUUGGCAAAGUUUUGAUCAUCCAACU